CUAUUGCUCCAUUUCUCGUACUCUAUGUGAUUUUAAUAUGAAUUCUUUAAAUAUAAAUAUUUGAAAUGGGUUUUCUUCAUUUAGGUUAAAUGUAAAUAUUAGAUGCACGGAUGGGUCAUGCGAGCAUGUGGAACAUGCUGAGUAAUGGUAAAAAUUAUUUCUUAUGCUUAUGUGGAUGCAACGGGUGCUGUUCUUUUGAAUCAAAAGUUGACAGUUGCAGACACCGAUUGAUGGAGGACUUCACAUUUUACUUGAUGUUUCCAAGUCAGAAAACAAUGGCUGCACUGCCUUCGGUCGAUGAAUUUAUCUUGUUUCAUGGUUAAUUAUUUGUAAACUUAAUAUUACGCCUUUUGGAGGGUGUUCCUUUUGGAGUCAUUUGUCAUGUUUUUCUCUUAUGGGACCAUGUAUCUUUUACUUUUUAUGGAUGUCUUCGAACUUUGCCAUUUGACAUGUUUUUCUCUUAUGGGACCAUGUAUCUUUUACUUUUUGUGCUGUGUCCAUUGUUUGUAUUAAUUUGUUAUCUUGGGGUUGUCUCGUUAUCUUGGGAUAGUGCCUGAUUGGGUUUGGAAUUUAUGACAGGUUUUGUAUGA